GGUACUGGGGGCUGAGACUCUCCUAUGUGGGGGUGGAGGGCUGUAUCUUGACAGAUCCUGAGAUGGGGUCUAGAGCACUGGGAGCUGGGCUUCUCUUAUGCAGGAGUGGAGUAUGGGGGUGGUCGGCUCCUGUGUACACAGCAUCUGCCAGUAAGAGGGAUGUCACCUCUCUUCUAACCACCAGCUUCUAUACUCACCUCUUCCACGUCCCAUCACUGACUACAUAGCUUAAUAACCAAGUAUCUCCUAAGCUGAAAUAAGCCAUUAUUGCUUUCAUCUACUACCAUGGCUUCUCAGAAGUCUUCCCCAGCAUCUUGGGUAACCAGCUCCUUGCUCAAGACUCCAGAAAGACUCUGAAAACAGGUGCCAACGUGCCUUACUCUUCAGCAAUGCAAAUACUCCUCAAAUGUC
rnacentral:lncRNA from 1 species